rnacentral:rRNA from 1 species
CCGGAUUUAUUGGGCGUAAAGGGCUCGUAGGUGGUUGAUCGCGUCGGAAGUGUAAUCUUGGGGCUUAACCCUGAGCGUGCUUUCGAUACGGGUUGACUUGAGGAAGGUAGGGGAGAAUGGAAUUCCUGGUGGAGCGGUGGAAUGCGCAGAUAUCAGGAGGAACACCAGUGGCGAAGGCGGUUCUCUGGGCCUUUCCUGACGCUGAGGAGCGAAAGCGUGGGGAGCGAACAGGCUUAGAUACCCUGGUAGUCUACGCUGUAAACGGUGGGUACUAGGUGUGGGGUCCAUUCCACGGGUUCCGCGCCGUAGCUAACGCUUUAAGUACCCCGCCUGGGGAGUACGGCCGCAAGGCUAAAACUCAAAGGAAUUGACGGGGCCCCGCACAAGCGGCGGAGCAUGCGGAUUAAUUCGAUGCAACGCGUAGAACCUUACCUGGCUUUGACAUGGAUCGGGAGUGCUCAGAGAUGGGUGUGCCUCUUUUGGGGUCGGUUCACAGGUGGUGCAUGGCUGUCGUCAGCUCGCUUCGUGAGAUGUUGGGUUAAGUCCCGCAACGAGCGCAACCCUUGUUCACUGUUGCCAGCACGUUAUGGUGGGGACUCAGUGGAGACCGCCGGGGUCAACUCGGAGGAAGGUGGGGAUGACGUCAAGUCAUCAUGCCCCUUAUGUCCAGGGCUUCACGCAUGCUACAAUGGCUGGUACAGAGAGUGGCGAGCCUGUGAGGGUGAGCGAAUCUCGGAAAGCCGGUCUCAGUUCGGAUUGGGGUCUGCAACUCGACCUCAUGAAGUCGGAGUCGCUAGUAAUCGCAGAUCAGCAACGCUGCGGU